rnacentral:rRNA from 1 species
GUCUAUAGCCAUAACACCCUGAACACGCCCGAUCUCAUCUGAUCUCGGAAGUUAAACAGGGUUGGGCCUGGUUAGUACUUGGAUGGGAGAAAAGCUUCUUGGAUGCAGAGGUACUUGACA